AAGUAACCUAAUGUUUUUCUAUCGGCGC
rnacentral:sRNA from 1 species